UGUAAUGCGACUUUUAAGAGUCGCUUGCUUUUGUUUCCCACACCGCUUCCGACAUAAACUGGACGAAGUUCUUCUCAUCAGACUGUGCUUUUUGAAGUCUCCUGGCAUGAAGCAUUCACAGGUGGUCCAUUGGCAGGAUUUUCAAAAAGCUCUAUUUCCUUUCAACUUGGUGUCUUUAUUUACGCUGGCACGAGGGACGCCCUGGACGGGGCGCCAUCUGACCAGAGGUUGUGGGGCGAAAGCGGCACAGAAGAGAGAAAUGACAGUGAUGGAGGGGGCAAAGAUAGAGGAAUGACAGGUAAUCCAUCAGAAGGAUGACUGUCAUUAUUCAAUUACCACCCAUCCUUAGCGCUCUUGAUAGCCACACACACCCACCCACACAUCUCUACUCUCACACAGUGAGAAUUUGCAGUGGGUUGGGGGGGAUCCUCUUACACGAGGUGGGUGAGUGCUCUGUGGGUGGCGAGGUGAAGCAGGAUAUGGGACUUGGCUCCAGUUUCUUAUACGCUUUUAGUGCAACAGACCCUUAAAUCUCUGGUCCUCCUUCCUACAUCUCUCAUCUCCAUUCCUUUCCUCUUCCCAAUGCCUUUCACAUCUAACCCAUUCACCAUGCUUCCUUCAUUCCCUCCCUCAUCUCGUUCCACACAGUUCAUUCAAGCUCCUUAGCCCUGAGAUGAUAAGGGACACAGAGAAUGAUUAGAUACCAGUGACACCAGGCUUAUCGCUCUGCUCCCACACUGCUCUCCAGAUCCUUUUGCAUUAUGAAAACCAAGCAAAGCAAGAAAACACACACACACACCCACACACAUGUGAGGCUCAUGGGAUUUGCUAUACUUGUUUAUGGACUCUGUUUACAUUAUGGAGCAUGUUGCUUCUGUAAUGAUGCAGGUGCUGAAUAAUAAUAAUAAUAAAGAGACCAAAAGUGGCAGAUUGUGAGCGUGAAGCAAUGGAAACAAAGAUGUUUAUUAAUAUUAUUAGUUCUUGACAAUUUGUGUAGUUUUGUGCAAAGUUGUAGAAGUGAAUUGAUAGGUAAAGAUGCUUUUGUACUUCUCUUUAGAUCCUUUGACAAUAUUUGUUUUGCCUGGAAUGAACGUCUCCUUGUCUUGUCAGAAGCUUUGUGGACAUGAGCAAUCACUUAGCCUCGAAAUGAGCAAUGAAAGCAUCUGCAAAUGCUUCGACUGUUAAGCCACGGCCCUUUUGUCCGGCAAACCCAGCUGUGUGCUCUGAAAGCAUGUUUAAUGUUAAAGAACAAACUGAUCUGUCUCUGUUGGCAGACUUCAUAUCUGAAAAGGAUUUUUAUUACCUUUUGCUUCAUUUCCAUGCCUUGUUAACAAAUUUAACUCUGUUAUAGCAGCUGAACAUCUUUUUUUAUGCUUCUGACAUGUGAAGCAAAACUUUUUAAACCUUCAAACUCAUCUUUCUUUUUGGCAAAAUCAUGAAUGCCCUUAAAGGGCCGGUUGUGCCAGAAUGUAUUGAUAAAGUCUGUUCACAAACUGUUAAAAUAUCAAUAAAUUCAUAAAAUUAAAUAAUAUUAUUGAACAUCUUUUUGGUCUCUCCAGGAUUUCGUGAUUCUUUCUGCAAU